GACGAACGCUGGCGGCGUGCUUAACACAUGCAAGUCGAACGGAAAGGCCCUGCUUUUGUGGGGUGCUCGAGUGGCGAACGGGUGAGUAACACGUGAGUAACCUGCCCUUGACUUUGGGAUAACUUCAGGAAACUGGGGCUAAUACCGGAUAGGAGCUCCUGCUGCAUGGUGGGGGUUGGAAAGUUUCGGCGGUUGGGGAUGGACUCGCGGCUUAUCAGCUUGUUGGUGGGGUAGUGGCUUACCAAGGCUUUGACGGGUAGCCGGCCUGAGAGGGUGACCGGCAACUUGGGAAUGGGGAAAGGGCCCAGACCCCAAGGGGGGGCAGGGGGGGGAAAUAUUGCAAAAGGGGCGGAGGCCGGAGGCAGAAACGCCGGGUGGGGGAUGACGGCCUUCGGGUUGUAAACCGCUUUCGCCUGUGACGAGGCGGGGGUGACGGUAAUGGGUAAAGAAGCACCGGCUAACUACGU
rnacentral:rRNA from 1 species